UACGUAGGUGACAAGCGUUGUCCGGAUUUACUGGGCGUAAAGAGCGCGCAGGCGGUCGUUCAAGUCGAGUGUGAAAGCCCCCGGCUCAACUGGGGAGGGCCAUUCGAUACUGAUCGACUCGAAGGCAGGAGAGGGUAGUGGAAUUCCCGGUGUAGUGGUGAAAUGCAUAGAUAUCGGGAGGAACACCAGUGGCGAAGGCGACUACCUGGCCUGUUCUUGACGCUGAGGCGCGAAAGCUAGGGGAGCAAACGGG
rnacentral:rRNA from 1 species